rnacentral:lncRNA from 1 species
UGUUCCUGAGGCCAUAGCCCCCAGAAGUCUUCUGAAAGUGAUGGUGGCAAUUCAGGAGAAGAAAGUGUUAUUUCCUUUUUGUAUUUUCACUUGAAAAAAAACUGAGAAGAGUGUGACUAGUCGAUGAUAUUUUGACCAUACAGCUGUUGAGCACUUCUGAGGAAGAGGAACAUGGAAGAGACAUUUGUUGAGUACCUAUUACAUGCCAGGCAAUUCCCAUACAUAUUUUACUUAAUCUUCACAACCGCCCAGAGAAAGAGAUCUCUUUUAUCCUUAUUUUAUGGACAUGACAAAACUGAAUAGAAGGCCCUAGUUUACAAACUCCAGGGGCUCCGCUCCAUUUGCUAUCAGCUAAGCAGACUUGGAGCGUGGACCCCUAUUUCUGCUUCUCCCGGGACACUGUAAAUCUCUCCAUUUGCCAUCAGUCUGGAGCUGUGAGCAUGCAGAUGAAAGGCGUUGUGGAUCUGUGAACUACCGUAGCUCUACCUUCGGAGGAACUGACUUUCAGCUUUCAGCCACAUGCAUGAGAGGGGCUGAUUCCAUCUGUCGACCUGUCA